GGCGGAGUAGCUCAGUUGGCAGAGCAAACGGCUCAUAAUCGUUGUGUCGUCGGUUCGAGUCCGGCCUCCGCUAC
rnacentral:tRNA from 1 species